rnacentral:rRNA from 1 species
ACAACCAGGAGGUUGGCUUAGAAGCAGCCACCCUUGAAAGAGUGCGUAAUAGCUCACUGGUCAAGUGAUUGUGCGCCGAUAAUGUAGCGGGGCUCAAGCACACCGCCGAAGCCGCGGCACAUCCACCUUGUGGUGGGUGUGGGUAGGGGAGCGUCCCUCAUUCAGCGAAGCCACCGGGUGACCGGUGGUGUAAAGCGUGGCAGUGAGAAUGCAGGCAUGAGUAGCGACAAGGCAAGUGAGAACCUUGCCCGCCGAAAGACCAAGGGUUCCUGGGCCAGGCCAGUCCGCCCAGGGUGAGUCGGGACCUAAGGCGAGGCCGACAGGCGUAGUCGAUGGACAACGGGUUGAUAUUCCCGUACCCGUGUGUGGGCGCCCGUGACGAAUCAGCGGUACUAACCACCCAAAACCGGAUCGAUCACUCCCCUUCGGGGGUGUGGAGUUCUGGGGCUGCGUGGGAACUUCGCUGGUAGUAGUCAAGCGAAGGGGUGACGCAGGAAGGUAGCCGUACCAGUCAGUGGUAACACUGGGGCAAGCCGGUAGGGAGAGCGAUAGGCAAAUCCGUCGCUCACUAAUCCUGAGAGGUGACGCAUAGCCGGUUGAGGCGAAUUCGGUGAUCCUCUGCUGCCAAGAAAAGCCUCUAGCGAGCACACACACGGCCCGUACCCCAAACCGACACAGGUGGUCAGGUAGAGCAUACCAAGGCGUACGAGAUAACUAUGGUUAAGGAACUCGGCAAAAUGCCCCCGUAACUUCGGGAGAAGGGGGACCGGAAUAUCGUGAACACCCUUGCGGUGGGAGCGGGAUCCGGUCGCAGAAACCAGUGAGGAGCGACUGUUUACUAAAAACACAGGUCCGUGCGAAGUCGCAAGACGAUGUAUACGGACUGACGCCUGCCCGGUGCUGGAAGGUUAAGAGGACCCGUUAACCCGCAAGGGUGAAGCGGAGAAUUUAAGCCCCAGUAAACGGCGGUGGUAACUAUAACCAUCCUAAGGUAGCGAAAUUCCUUGUCGGGUAAGUUCCGACCUGCACGAAUGGCGUAACGACUUCUCAACUGUCUCAACCAUAGACUCGGCGAAAUUGCACUACGAGUAAAGAUGCUCGUUACGCGCGGCAGGACGAAAAGACCCCGGGACCUUCACUACAACUUGGUAUUGAUGUUCGGUACGGUUUGUGUAGGAUAGGUGGGAGACUGUGAAACCUCGACGCCAGUUGGGGCGGAGUCGUUGUUGAAAUACCACUCUGAUCGUAUUGGGCAUCUAACCUCGAACCCUGAAUCGGGUUUAGGGACAGUGCCUGGCGGGUAGUUUAACUGGGGCGGUUGCCUCCUAAAAUGUAACGGAGGCGCCCAAAGGUUCCCUCAACCUGGACGGCAAUCAGGUGGCGAGUGUAAAUGCACAAGGGAGCUUGACUGCGAGACUUACAAGUCAAGCAGGGACGAAAGUCGGGAUUAGUGAUCCGGCACCCCCGAGUGGAAGGGGUGUCGCUCAACGGAUAAAAGGUACCCCGGGGAUAACAGGCUGAUCUUCCCCAAGAGUCCAUAUCGACGGGAUGGUUUGGCACCUCGAUGUCGGCUCGUCGCAUCCUGGGGCUGGAGCAGGUCCCAAGGGUUGGGCUGUUCGCCCAUUAAAGCGGCACGCGAGCUGGGUUUAGAACGUCGUGAGACAGUUCGGUCUCUAUCCGCCGCGCGCGUCAGAAACUUGAGGAAACCUGUCCCUAGUACGAGAGGACCGGGACGGACGAACCUCUGGUGCACCAGUUGUCCCGCCAGGGGCACCGCUGGAUAGCCACGUUCGGUCAGGAUAACCGCUGAAAGCAUCUAAGCGGGAAACCUUCUCCAAGAUCAGGUUUCUCACCCACUUGGUGGGAUAAGGCCCCCCGCAGAACACGGGUUCAAUAGGUCAGACCUGGAAGCUCAGUAAUGGGUGUAGGGAACUGGUGCUAACCGGCCGAAAACUUACAACA